GCUUAUGGCCAUACCACCCUGAGCACGCCCGAUCUCGUCUGAUCUCGGAAGCUAAGCAGGGUCGGUCCUGGUUAGUACUUGGAUGGGAGACCGCCUGGGAAUUCCAGGUGCUGUAAGCU
rnacentral:rRNA from 1 species